AGAAGCAAUAAUGUUAAUAUGAGUAACAAGAAAAUUUUCUCCCUGCAUGAGUGUAUAUCAGAACGAAUGAUGCACUGGUAGUUAACAAAUACAGACAUAACUAGCUAACUAAAAUCUUAAUACAACUGUUAGUCCAACACAGGCCUGCACCAGGAAGAUAAAAGAAGUAAAAGGAACUCGGC
rnacentral:rRNA from 1 species